rnacentral:rRNA from 1 species
UGGGGAAUUUUGCACAAUGGGGGAAACCCUGAUGCAGCGACGCCGCGUGAUUUAGAAGGCCUUCGGGUUGUAAAAAUCUUUUUUACGGGAUGAAAAUGACAGUACCGUAAGAAUAAGGUCCGGCUAAAUACGUGCCAGCAGCCGCGGUAAUACGUAUGGACCGAGCGUUGUCCGGAAUCAUUGGGCGUAAAGGGUACGUAGGCGGCCUAGUAAGUUAGAAGUGAAAUAAUAUAGCUCAACUAUAUAAAGCUUUUAAAACUGCUAGGCUUGAGAGAUGGAAGGGAAAGUGGAAUUCCUAGUGUAGCGGUGAAACGCGCAGAUAUUAGGAAGAUUACCGGUGGCGAAGGCGACUUUCUGGUCAUCAUCUGACGCUGAGGUACGAAAGCGUGAGUAGCAAACAGG